GUCAUGAUAGCUCAGUUGGGAGACGCUAGACUGAAGAUCUAAAUGUCGCUGGUUCGGUUCCUGCUCGCGGCA
rnacentral:tRNA from 1 species